AAUUACUCUCCGAUCUCAAACGAGCAUCUUCUCUUCAGCCUGCCAAUCUUGCAAAUAUCAGCUUCUUCCGCAGACGAAACUCGAAGACAUAUAGCUUUGGUUUCGAUCGGCUCUUAAGAACACUCCAUAACUCACUGUCCCAUUCUGGAGGCGGCCAUGCCUUCCAAAUCACUCUUCCUUGCUCUUUUCCUGCAGCUAUGCUUCUCGCUUUUCUCCUCAUCCUUCGUUCACGCUUCUGGGUCUGCUGAGGGUUACCCUAUUAAUGGCCGAGUGAAGAUUCCAAGUUUGGGAACAAAGGAAUUUGGUCUUCCUGGAAAAGUUUCAAAUGUCAAAGUCAUACUCAAUGGUGGUCAAAGAGUAACAUUUCUGAGACCUGAUGGAUAUUUCUCAUUCCACAACGUCACAGCAGGGACUCACCUGAUUGAAGUUGCUGCAAUUGGCUAUUUCUUUUCUCCGGUACGAGUUGAUGUUAGUGCCAGAAACCCAGGCAAAAUUCAUGCGGCUCUGACAGAGAAUAGGAGAGGGCUCAGCGAGUUUGUCUUGGAGCCAUUGAGGGAGGAAGUAUAUUACGAGAUUAGGGAACCCUUUUCUAUUUUGUCCGUUGUGAAAAGCCCAAUGGGUCUGAUGAUGGGAUUUAUGCUGCUUGUUGUGUUCGUCAUGCCCAAAUUAAUGGAGAAUAUGGAAUGGCUGUACUUGCUGUGCCUUGGAAGGGUGACGUAUUGUUUGUUUCCUUCUGGAUAAUUUCUUGAGGCUAGUGAUUGUUUUUCAAGGAUAAUUUCUAAGCACACAUCAAAUGAACAGAGACUAUUGAAACGGAAGUGCAGGAAACUUUUCCUUUCAGAUCCAGAAGAAAUGAGGCGUGCCCAAGAAGAAAUGAGAAAUCAAGGAGUUCCAUCCUUGGCAAGCUUGUUACCUGGUUCUGGCGGCAGCAGCUAGAUGGUGAAUGACCUAAUGUCUGAAGAAUUCCGUUAUGACGAAAAGAUGCCCAAAGAAAUCUAUAUUUUUAUACUUUUAUGUAGUAGUUUGAAAUUUCUUCUAGAUGGAGAUCUUAGCGUAUUUUUUAGAACUUGGGGCUUUUUUGUAAAUCUACUCACUUUCUUGUCAACACUAGCAAUCAUGCACUACCGUUUUGCCAUUUGUGGUAUGCUUGAGGUGACAUUUUUUACUAUGUAGCGGAUUUUUGUGCCUGCA